UACGUAGGGUGCAAGCGUUGUCCGGAAUUAUUGGGCGUAAAGAGCUCGUAGGCGGUCUGUUACGUCGGCUGUGAAAACCUGGGGCUCAACCCCGGGCCUGCAGCCGAUACGGGCAGACUAGAAUUCGGUAGGGGAGACUGGAAUUCCUGGUGUAGCGGUGGAAUGCGCAGAUAUCAGGAGGAACACCGGUGGCGAAGGCGGGUCUCUGGGCCGACAUUGACGCUGAGGAGCGAAAGCGUGGGGAGCGAACAGG
rnacentral:rRNA from 1 species